AGUAAAAUCAUGAAAAGAGGUCCAUUCAUCCCUUGGGAACCUCAAAUCCAAAAAGACAACGACAGAAUGCAGCCUUCCCUGAAACCGAUAGGGAAAUCUCUAAUGUGGUUGAGUUCCUGAAAAAAGAGUAUAACCGACGAGCUGAUUUCAGUCCGCUUCAGUGGAGCAAAGGCAUGAAGUUACAACUUAAAGAAGUCUAUACAAAGCUUAGAGUUGUAUCCAAAGGGGAAGCAGAAGGUUCGGAGAUAGACGUGGAUGAUAUCUUUGGGUCGAGUGAGGAAGAUAAUGAUCCUUUGGUGCUUGUAGAGGGAAGUCCAGGAAUUGGCAA